CAUGAGGCGUGGUCUAACUGGUCAGCUCAUCACUGCGCCACAUGAAAGGAUGCACUUCCUCAUGAAGUGACACAGAACCCAAUCACACUGAAGAGCAACUCAUCAUUAUCCCACAUGAAAGGGUGCACUUCCUGAUUAAGUUAUAUAGAACCCAAUCACACUGAUGAGCAGAAUAUCACUCAUCCACCUCCAGUGCUAUUCAGAGAGUACUGACUGCUCUGCUUGAGUGAUGGUGUAAUUAGAAAACUGGAUGUUCUGGAAUUAUUGGCAAAAGAUCUAGUGGAAAUACUGCAAAAUGCUUGGUGCAAAUAGAUAAAGAGAGAAUCCGUAAAGCAGAUAUUGCUAAUUUAAAAUGCACAAAAGAAGCCAGACAGAAAAGAAGAGGGACCAAGAGAAGAAAAGAAGACCAGUAUGAUUCAGAUGAUGAUCAGUAUGGUCCAGGAAAAUAUUAGUGGUGCCAUUAUUUGAUAAACUAAUGGGAUUAUAAACAUGAAAUUUGGUCAAUUUGUACUCCAGAUGGUGAUAAGUUAUUUCAAAUAAAUUGAG